UACGUAGGGGCGAGCGUUGUCCGGAGUUACUGGGCGUAAAGCGCACGCAGGCGGUCUGUUAAGUUUGGAGUGACAGUUGGUGGCUUAACUGCCAAAGUGCUUCGAAAACUGAUAGACUUGAGGGCUUCAGAGGGACACGGAAUUCCGGGUGGAGUGGUGAAAUGCGUAGAGAUCCGGAGGAACACCAAAGGCGAAGGCAGUGUCCUGGGGAGUACCUGA
rnacentral:rRNA from 1 species